UUAUAUAUAUAUUAAAUGUAUUUUAUAUUGCAUUUAUAGCGGAUACUGGUGGCAUUAUCGUGAUCUGUUUGCUAGUUAAAGUCCGUUACUUUCCACACUGUCAUCGUCGCCACUGCAAACCAAUGAAUUACAGACUACGAGACGACUCCACGGUAUAAGGCAAAAAAGAAAAAAAAAAAGAAAGGAGGAGAUAGGAAGCGAAAAAAAGAAAGAAAAGGUGUACAAUGUUAAACGGAGCCUUUGAUAAAUUAAUUAAAGAUGAAUUAUGCAAAAAAGUUCGCUUUUAACUGGAUCUCUUUAACCAAAGAUUAACGAAGUUCUUUCGACGAUUCACGCCUGUUCCAGCCCGGUGCAAUGCAAUUAUGCUUGAAACAGUUGGAAAAUUAUCUUACAUCUCUAACCCUUGUUCACUAUCUGUUACGCUAUUUCGAUUUCUUUCGAAAAAGAGACGAAGAAGGAGAUAAAAAAAAAAAAAAAAA